GACGAACGCUGGCGGCGUGCUUAACACAUGCAAGUCGAACGGUAAGGCCCUUCGGGGUACACGAGUGGCGAACGGGUGAGUAACACGUGGGUGAUCUGCCCUGCACUUCGGGAUAAGCCUGGGAAACUGGGUCUAAUACCGGAUAGGACUCCUGGCUUCAUGGUUGGGGGUGGAAAGCUUUUGCGGUGUGGGAUGGGCCCGCGGCCUAUCAGCUUGUUGGUGGGGUAAUGGCCUACCAAGGCGACGACGGGUAGCCGGCCUGAGAGGGUGACCGGCCACACUGGGACUGAGAUACGGGCCAGACUCCUACGGGAGGCAGCAGUGGGGAAUAUUGCACAAUGGACUAAAGUCUGAUCCAGCGACGCCGCGUGGACGAUGAAGGCCUUCGGGUUGUAAAGUCCUUUUGGCAGGGAACAAUUUUUGAGCGUACCUGCAGAAUAAGAGGUUGCUAACUCUGUGCCAGCAGCCGCGGUAA
rnacentral:rRNA from 1 species